rnacentral:rRNA from 1 species
GAUGAACGCUAGCGGCAGGCCUAAUACAUGCAAGUCGAACGAGAUUAAGAGGCUUGCUUCUUAUGAAAGUGGCGCACGGGUGCGUAACGCGUAUGCAACCUACCUUAAUCAGGGGGAUAGCCCGAAGAAAUUCAGAUUAAGACCGCAUAAAAACACAGGAUAGCAUUAUCCAAUGUUCAAAUAUUUAUAGGAUUAAGAUGGGCAUGCGUGUCAUUAGCUAGUUGGCGGGGUAACGGCCCACCAAGGCGACGAUGACUAGGGGAUCUGAGAGGAUGACCCCCCACACUGGUACUGAGACACGGACCAGACUCCUACGCGAGGCAGCAGUAAGGAAUAUUGGUCAAUGGAGGGAACUCUGAACCAGCCAUGCCGCGUGCAGGAAGACAGCCCUCUGGGUCGUAAACUGCUUUUAUUCGGGAAUAAACCUUUCUACGUGUAGGAAGCUGAAUGUACCGAAGGAAUAAGGAUCGGCUAACUCCGUGCCAGCAGCCGCGGUAA